rnacentral:rRNA from 1 species
UGGGGGAUAUUGCACAAUGGGCGAAAGCCUGAUGCAGCGACGCCGCGUGGGGGAUGAAGGCUUUCGGGUUGUAAACCUCUUUCGCUAUCGAACAAGGCCCGCUUAGGGUGGGUUGAGGGUAGGUGGAGAAGAAGCGCCGGCUAACUACGUGCCAGCAGCCGCGGUAAUACGUAGGGCGCGAGCGUUUCCGGAAUUAUUGGGCGUAAAGGGCUUGUAGGCGGCUUGUUGCGCCUGCUGUGAAAACGCGGGGCUUAACUUCGCGCGUGCAGUGGGUACGGGCAGGCUUGAGUGUGGUAGGGGUGACUGGAAUUCCAGGUGUAGCGGUGGAAUGCGCAGAUAUCUGGAGGAACACCGAUGGCGAAGGCAGGUCACUGGGCCAUUACUGACGCUGAGGAGCGAAAGCAUGGGUAGCGAACAGG